rnacentral:tRNA from 1 species
GCCUUCGUGGUGUAACGGUGGCACACUCGGCACGCAUUCCAGAGAUUCAGGUUCGAAUCCCGGCGAGGGCA